ACCCAUCCCUCUUGCUCUCCAGGCUUUGCUUCGCUGGAGAGGCGCUGCACAGUUUUCCCUCUCUGCGCAGCGCCCCUUCAGCGAAGCGGGAGGAGAAAUGGCAGGGGCUCAGUUUCUUCUGCCGCUUCCCUGAAGGGGCGCUGCGCAGAGAGGGAUAGUUUUUUUUUUCUUGUUCUCCCCCUCUAAAACUAGGUGCGUCUUAUGCUCGGGUGCAUCCUAUAGAGCGAAAAAUACGGUAUAUAUAUUUUUAGAAAAGGAUAGUAUCGUGCUGAAGAUAAUCAAAUGUUUUUACUUUCCAAAUGCAUGUUUUAAUUAAAUACUGCUAACAGAGAAAGCACAGAGGCUUUUGCAUAUGUGGCUCCAGGGGGGAAAAGAGAUGGACGAUGACAGCGUUGCCAGAGGAAGUGGAGUGGGCAGGCUGGCUCACUUGAACAGAAGGGGCUGAUGAGUUAAUGAAUGAACUAAGGAGACACUUGAAGAGUGGGAAACCAAUCCAGCUGGGGCCCUCGCCAUUCCAGAAUGUCAGGAAAGCUCUUCCUCACAAAUCGACCAGGAUUAGCACAUUCCAAACAACGUAGAAUAAGCAGUCAAAUAUCUCCUGCAAUUAGCCAUUUCAAUGAGAUACAAAUCAUUAUGCAACAAUGCAUUAAAGCACUGGUCCCCAAA